AGAAGAAUAAGGAAGGUCCUGCUUAGAAGCUUUUGGGUGAGACGUUUUCAGUCUUCUCUGAUUCUUAGUCUUCAAUUUUUCCUCAGGUCCAUGGGCUUUGCAGAAAGUGAGGCUAUCCAAAAAGCUGCCUGUAGAGCACUUAAUUCCAACUUAUGGCGACCCUAUGAAUAGGAUUUUUGUGAUGGAGAGGAAUCCAGCCAUAACACAUUUAGCUCAUGGAGCUACCAUGCAGAGGGGCUGCCUCCUUCAUUUCCAUGGAGAAAGUAGAGUUGCAUGUACAGAGGCAAGUCAAUGCACACCAAGGUCUACUUCCUUGGAAGGAAUGGAGGAACUCCUGUGAUCAGAGGGGCCUCGAUGUGUACACUGGCAGUCCCACACCCAUGGGAAGUCACUGAAUUCGGGUUGCAUGUUCCAGUGACCUACAUAUAUUGUCCUUUGGCUUCACAGCACAGUAAAUGCACUUCAGUUCCCAUGAACUUCUUUCCAUGGCCUCCUUUUAGAAAAAGAAACUGGAGAUCACAGGUUAUGUUGAGGAUGCCAGCUGAUUAUCCACAAGGGACCAUCAGUCAUUGUUCCUAAUUAUUGUUUCCCCCAUUCCCCAUCUGA